rnacentral:rRNA from 1 species
CGCGGUAUCAGAGGUCCAAGCGUUGUUCGGAUUCACUGGGCGUAAAGGGUGCGUAGGCGGUUGGACAAGUCUGAUGUGAAAUCCCGCAGCUUAACUGCGGAACGGCAUUGGAAACUGUCUGACUAGAGGAAUGGAGGGGAGACUGGAAUACUUGGUGUAGCAGUGAAAUGCGUAGAUAUCAAGUGGAACACCAGUGGCGAAGGCGAGUCUCUGGACAUUUCCUGACGCUGAGGCACGAAAGCCAGGGGAGCAAACGGGAUUAGAUACCCCGGUAGUCCUGGCCCUAAACGGUGCGCGUUUGCUGUGAGCGGAAUCGACCCCGCUCGUGGCGAAGUUAACACGUUAAACGCGCCGCCUGGGAAGUACGGCCGCAAGGUUAAAACUCAAAGGAAUUGACGGGGGCCCGCACAAG